AGUUUGAUCCUGGCUCAGAUUGAACGCUGGCGGCAUGCCUUACACAUGCAAGUCGAACGGCAGCAUAGGAGCUUGCUCCUGAUGGCGAGUGGCGAACGGGUGAGUAAUAUAUCGGAACGUGCCCUAGAGUGGGGGAUAACUAGUCGAAAGACUAGCUAAUACCGCAUACGAUCUACGGAUGAAAGUGGGGGAUCGCAAGACCUCAUGCUCCUGGAGCGGCCGAUAUCUGAUUAGCUAGUUGGUGGGGUAAAAGCCUACCAAGGCAACGAUCAGUAGCUGGUCUGAGAGGACGACCAGCCACACUGGGACUGAGACACGGCCCAGACUCCUACGGGAGGCAGCAGUGGGGAAUUUUGGACAAUGGGGGCAACCCUGAUCCAGCAUUGCCGCGUGAGUGAAGAAGGCCUUCGGGUUGUAAAAGCUCUUUUGUCAGGGAAGAAACGGUAGUAGCUAAUAUCUAUUACUAAUGACGGUACCUGAAGAAUAAGCACCGGCUAACUACGUGCCAGCAGCCGCGGUAAUACGUAGGGUGCAAGCGUUAAUCGGAAUUACUGGGCGUAAAGCGUGCGCAGGCGGUUGUGUAAGUCAGAUGUGAAAUCCCCGGGCUCAACCUGGGAAUUGCAUUUGAGACUGCACGGCUAGAGUGUGUCAGAGGGGGGUAGAAUUCCACGUGUAGCAGUGAAAUGCGUAGAUAUGUGGAGGAAUACCGAUGGCGAAGGCAGCCCCCUGGGAUAACACUGACGCUCAUGCACGAAAGCGUGGGGAGCAAACAGGAUUAGAUACCCUGGUAGUCCACGCCCUAAACGAUGUCUACUAGUUGUCGGGUCUUAAUUGACUUGGUAACGCAGCUAACGCGUGAAGUAGACCGCCUGGGGAGUACGGUCGCAAGAUUAAAACUCAAAGGAAUUGACGGGGACCCGCACAAGCGGUGGAUGAUGUGGAUUAAUUCGAUGCAACGCGAAAAACCUUACCUACCCUUGACAUGGAUGGAAUCCCGAAGAGAUUUGGGAGUGCUCGAAAGAGAACCAUCACCCAGGUGCUGCAGUGGCUGUCGUCAGCUCGUGUCGUGAGAUGUUGGGUUAAGUCCCGCAACGAGCGCAACCCUUGUCAUUAGUUGCUACGAAAGGGCACUCUAAUGAGACUGCCGGUGACAAACCGGAGGAAGGUGGGGAUGACGUCAAGUCCUCAUGGCCCUUAUGGGUAGGGCUUCACACGUCAUACAAUGGUACAUACAGAGGGCCGCCAACCCGCGAGGGGGAGCUAAUCCCAGAAAGUGUAUCGUAGUCCGGAUUGGAGUCUGCAACUCGACUCCAUGAAGUUGGAAUCGCUAGUAAUCGCGGAUCAGCAUGUCGCGGUGAAUACGUUCCCGGGUCUUGUACACACCGCCCGUCACACCAUGGGAGCGGGUUUUACCAGAAGUGGGUAGCCUAACCGCAAGGAGGGCGCUCACCACGGUAGGAUUCGUGACUGGGGUGAAGUCGUAACAAGGUAACC
rnacentral:rRNA from 1 species